UGGAGAGUUUGAUCCUGGCUCAGGACGAACGCUGGCGGCGUGCUUAACACAUGCAAGUCGAGCGGAAAGGCCCCUUCGGGGGUACUCGAGCGGCGAACGGGUGAGUAACACGUGAGCAACCUGCCCCUGACUCUGGGAUAAGCCCGGGAAACUGGGUCUAAUACCGGAUGUAACCACUGGUCGCAUGGUCUGGUGGUGGAAAGUUUUUCGGUUGGGGAUGGGCUCGCGGCCUAUCAGCUUGUUGGUGGGGUGAUGGCCUACCAAGGCGACGACGGGUAACCGGCCUGAGAGGGCGACCGGUCACACUGGGACUGAGACACGGCCCAGACUCCUACGGGAGGCAGCAGUGGGGAAUAUUGCGCAAUGGGCGGAAGCCUGACGCAGCGACGCCGCGUGAGGGAUGACGGCCUUCGGGUUGUAAACCUCUUUCAGCAGGGACGAAGCUAACGUGACGGUACCUGCAGAAGAAGCGCCGCUAACUACGUGCCAGCAGCCGCGGUAA
rnacentral:rRNA from 1 species